GGAGGCAUGGCAGAGUCAGGUUGAAUGCGACGGUCUUGAAAACCGUUGACCGCUCACAAGGCGGUCCGAAGGUUCGAAUCCUUCUGCCUCCG
rnacentral:tRNA from 1 species